AACGAACGCUGGCGGCGUGUUUAAGACAUGCAAGUCGCACGGGAUAAGACAUGUAGUAAUACUUGUUUUAUUUAGUGGCGCACGGGUGAGCAACACGUGAAUUACAUGCCCUAUAGUGGGGAAUAGCCCAGGGAAACUUGGAUUAAUACCCCAUGGUAUCGAAAGAUUAAAGGUGGCCGCAAGGCUGUCGCUAUAGGAUUGGUUCGCGCCCUAUCAGCUUGUUGGUGAGGUAACGGCUCACCAAGGCAAUGACGGGUACCUGGUCUGAGAGGACGAUCAGGCACACUGGAACUGAGACACGGUCCAGACACCUACGGGUGGCAGCAGUCGAGAAUAAUUCACAAUGGGGGCUACCCUGAUGGUGCAACACCGCGUGGAGGAUGACGGUCUUCGGAUUGUAAACUCCUGUCAUCUGGGAGAAAGACCUGACGGUAAAUAGCCGGCAGGGUUGAUAGUACCAGAAGAGGAAGGGACGGCUAACUUCGUGCCAGCAGCCGCGGUAA
rnacentral:rRNA from 1 species